rnacentral:rRNA from 1 species
AUUGAACGCUGGCGGAAUGCUUUACACAUGCAAGUCGAGCGGCAGCGCGGCCUUCGGGCUGGCGGCGAGCGGCGAACGGGUGAGUAAUGCAUCGGAACAUGCCCAGUCGUGGGGGAUAACACUUCGAAAGAAGUGCUAAUACCGCAUACGUCCUGAAGGGGAAAGCGGGGGAUCGCAAGACCUCGCGCGAUUGGAGUGGCCGAUGUCAGAUUAGCUAGUUGGUGGGGUAAAGGCCUACCAAGGCGACGAUCUGUAGCUGGUCUGAGAGGAUGAUCAGCCACACUGGGACUGAGACACGGCCCAGACUCCUACGGGAGGCAGCAGUGGGGAAUUUUGGACAAUGGGGGCAACCCUGAUCCAGCCAUUCCGCGUGAGUGAAGAAGGCCUUCGGGUUGUAAAGCUCUUUCGGCAGGAACGAAACGGUGGGCUCUAACAUAGUCCGCUAAUGACGGUACCUGAAGAAGAAGCACCGGCUAACUACGUG